AAAUAACUUCAUGCACAAAGAAUGCCCUAAGUUGUUGGGCAACCUGGGACUCAGUAUAAAAACCAGAGCAACUCAAGGCUCUUCCACCUAUUUCUCUUGCCUUCUUUACCUUGGUGAACAGGACUUGCCUCCAUCCCACAGACAUGUCCUGCUAUGACCUGUGCCCCCCCACCUCCUGUGGGCCAACCCCACUGGCAAAUAGCUGCAAUGAGCCCUGUGUCAGGCAGUGCCAGGACUCAACAGUGGUGAUCCAGCCCUCUCCUGUGGUGGUGACCCUGCCUGGACCCAUCCUCAGCUCCUUCCCACAGAACACUGCUGUGGGAUCCUCAGCAUCUGCUGCUGUCGGGAGUGCUCUCAAUGCUGGAGGGGUGCCCAUUUCCUCUGGAAGCUCCUUGGGAUUAGGCAGCUUUGGCUAUCCAGGCCUGGGCAGUGGGUACAGUCGGCCCUACCGUCGCUACAACACCUACCGCAGUGGCUUCUAAGGGCCAUGGUAAAGUGUGAGGAGCAAGCAGGAAGAAAUGACCAGGAACACUGAAGCACGACUCAACACAGGACUGAGCUCAUGGCCAUGGUUUUCAGAUGCAGUUUUAGAUGCCCACAACCUGAAGUUUAUGGAGCUGUGGGAGCUUGGCAUCUCCUAAAAUCAGGCCUAUGCUUGUCUUACUUUUGUCAUGCUUUACUUUACAUUUCUGAUCAAAAGUCUUGUCUCAUGCUUGUUUUUUUUUAAUUGAAGAUGACUAAAAAUAUGUAAUUAUUAGAAAUUGUUUUGCAUGGCUGAAUUAGUACAGUUCACUUAAAGAAGAAGGAAGAUCUCAGUUUGCUGAGUGUGUCAUUGUGAGAGGGAUGAGUGGGUAUUGUCCUUAGUGGAGCAUGGAAAUGUAUUCCUUAUACUUUACAUUGCUUCCUUCCCUUCCUCAGCCUCAUUAAAUUUGUGCUGCAUCAUAA